rfam:Sandaracinus amylolyticus strain DSM 53668, complete genome.
GGGGCUAUAGCUCAGGUGGUUAGAGCGCACCCCUGAUAAGGGUGAGGUCGUUAGUUCGAGUCUAACUAGCCCCA